rnacentral:rRNA from 1 species
GAUGAACGCUGGCGGCGUGCCUAAUACAUGCAAGUCGAGCGAACAGACGAGGAGCUUGCUCCUCUGACGUUAGCGGCGGACGGGUGAGUAACACGUGGAUAACCUACCUAUAAGACUGGGAUAACUUCGGGAAACCGGAGCUAAUACCGGAUAAUAUAUUGAACCGCAUGGUUCAAUAGUGAAAGACGGUUUUGCUGUCACUUAUAGAUGGAUCCGCGCCGCAUUAGCUAGUUGGUAAGGUAACGGCUUACCAAGGCAACGAUGCGUAGCCGACCUGAGAGGGUGAUCGGCCACACUGGAACUGAGACACGGUCCAGACUCCUACGGGAGGCAGCAGUAGGGAAUCUUCCGCAAUGGGCGAAAGCUUGACGGAGCAACGCCGCGUGAGUGAUGAAGGUCUUCGGAUCGUAAAGCUCGGUUAUUAGGGAAGAACAAAUGUGUAAGUAACUAUGCACGUCUUGACGGUACCUAAUCAGAAAGCCACGGCUAACUACGUG